UGACAUUUCCGUGAACAAUAGAGAGUCUAUCACUAUAAACCUUUGCUGAUCUUUCUAAGAAGCUAAUUGGACUCAACGGCACGUAGUUCGCUGAGCAUUUCACUGUGCCCUCCAUUUGUAGGCUGGAAGAUCGGCUGAAGGGCGGAGGAGUCUUCGCUAUCGCCGGAGUUUGGAGGAAUUAGGAGAACUUCUUUUUUAUUGUGAAA
rnacentral:misc_RNA from 1 species